rnacentral:rRNA from 1 species
UUGACGGGGCCCGCACAAGCGGUGGAGCAUGUGGUUUAAUUCGAUGCAACGCGAAGACCUUACCUGGGCUUGACAUCCCGAGAAUCCCCUGGAAACAGGGGAGUGCCUUUCGGGGAACUCGGAGACAGGUGCUGCAUGGCUGUCGUCAGCUCGUGUCGUGAGAUGUUGGGUUAAGUCCCGCAACGAGCGCAACCCUUGUCUUUAAUUGCCAGCAUUCAGUUGGGCACUUUAAAGAGACUGCCGGUGUUAAGCCGGAGGAAGGUGGGAUGACGUCAAGUCCUCAUGGCCUUUAUGCCCAGGGCUACACACGUGCUACAAUGGGUGGUACAAAGAGAUGCCAACUCGCGAGAGCGCGCCAAUCUCAGAAAGCCAUCCUCAGUUCGGAUUGGAGUCUGCAACUCGACCCCAUGAAGUUGGAAUCGCUAGUAAUCGCGGAUCAGCACGCCGCGGUGAAUACGUUCCCGGGCCUU